GUGCUUGCUUUGGCAGCACAUAUACUAAAAUUGGAACAAUACAGGGAAGAUUAGCAUGGCCCCUGCACAAGGAUGACAUGCAAAUUUGUGAAGCGUUUCAGAUUUUC
rnacentral:snRNA from 1 species